AUGAUGCUUCACUGCUGUCUGCUGGUGUUGUCUGUAACACAAUAUACACUGGCACAGUCAAUAGGACCACUGCAGAGCGAUGUUCAUAUCACUGAGAGGACUCCAGUCAGGCUCUCAUGCAAAUAUGAUGGCAGUGCAUACAGUCUGCAUUGGUAUCGACAGUAUCCUGGAUCAAAACCUGAAUUUCUGCUUCUUGUAAGGGAAUCAGCCAAAAAAUCCGUAACAUAUGCAGAUCCAAAAAUUCCUGGAAUGGAUGGAGAAAUGAGCAUGAGUGAAAAACGAGUGGAUCUAGAGAUCUCCUCUGCUGCAGUAUCAGACUCUGCUGUGUAUUACUGUGCCCUGGAGUACAGCAGCUCCAAACCACAGUUUCUGUAUUUGGUUAGUGAAGCCAAGCUUGAACAACUGGCUGAUCCUCCAAUUCCUGGAUCGUCUGCUAAAUUAAAUGAGGAGAAUAACCGUGUGGAUCUGGAGAUCUCCUCUGCUACAGUAUCAGACUCUGCUGUGUAUAUUACUGUGCUCUGA